AUUUUUGCCCAUCUUUUAACUCUGCAUAAAAUAGGCCAUAUUGUUUAAGAACAAUUUUCUUUAAGCCUGUUUAAUAGCCAUGUUACAUUGCUAAAGAAUCGGAAGGGAGUCCUGGUUCAUCUCAGCACUCAUGGGAUAGAGUCCUUUCAAAGGCAGUGCACGUCAGACUCCAUGAAAGACCGGGGCGAAGCACAGUCUCCUCAGAUUCUCAGGAGGUCGUUCCUGCUUUAGUCUGAACGGUUUCGGUGGUGCCAAGUGGACUCUGAUUUCAUCAGCUCUGGGUAGAGCCUAAACGCUAUCCUCUGGGUCAUUCCACACUGCAGGUAGAUCUGCUUGCUUUACUAGUUCUUAUUCCUUCAAAAUGUUAGCAGACUCAGGCUCAGCCUUGCAUUUCCAAGGCAUGGCAGCUGCAGGGAAUCGAAUCAGGCAGGUGUUUUCGAGACCUGAGGAGAGGGCCAAGUGUUUAGGGAUGAGUGAGGCCUCUGGAGUCUGAAGGCACUGGUGAGCUGUCUUCCCUUACGGUAUUUUACGUCCUUGCAAAGUCUACCUUUGCAAGCUGCACCAGCCGUUUUGUUCACUUGUCCUGGUAUUAAAAGCAGGAGCUCCGUUCCCUGUGUGCAUUUGCCUCUAUGAUGGCUUGGCUUACAGAAGGAAUCGUUGAGUUAUAAAGAAAUUGUCUUUGCUGACUUCACGGGGUGGUGUUCUGUCAUCUUCGGCGUGAACUUUGGUUAAUGAAGGAAGCCUGCAGCUGGCAGGUGUAAUUGCUCCUGUCACUCUGAGAAAGAGGAGAGCACGCGAGACCCACUUCCCACAAGUUGAGCUUGGGGAGCAGUCAUGCAGCUAGGACCUCACGGGCAUGGGAAACGGUUGCCCAGGUCACUGCAAAGGGUUUGGAAAGGAAGAAAUGAUUUCUAACUGUACAUGAGCACCUCUGUACCAGGAGUGUUUCUGUCAUGUGGGUACAGUGUUGGUCUUCUUUUCAGCAUCAUUCCUGUCUCUAAUAGAAAGUGCAUAUUCAAAAUGGUCUUCACCAGUGGGUCUGCUCACUCGCUACUGAAAGUCUCUCUAGAUGAAUAUGUUUGUUUAUAGUCAGUAAUUAUUUUAUAUUUACUAGUUCUUUUUUAAAAAGUUUUCCUAGUGUUAAUAUAAUCAUGUGAAGAAAGCCCAAUGGAAUUCAUAUUAUUUUAUUGUUUUGGCUUUUACUUGGGUGUUUUUUUGUCAAAGGAAAAAAAAAAAAUCCCAAAUAGUGGCUCUAGAUGUAGAUUUACUGUAGAAAGUAAUUACGGAAACCUGUUUAUUCCAGAUUGGAAAGAAGGUAUAGACAGAAACGAGUUGGGAAGAGGAAAUGCACUUGUGGAUCGGCUCCUCAGCUCACCGAGCAGGACGCGUGCCUCGGGCAGCAGUGGUGCUGGCUUCCCGGAGUGUGCGCCGCUUACACGAGGCAGAAUGUGGGUGCUGAGGGGCCUUGGCUUUUUCUUUGGCUGUCUGUGGGGAGAGUGGGGGACAGUUUCCACCCUGGGAUCUCUUCUCAAAGUGUUAUAAAGAAGCUCCAUUGUCCCAUUUUGGGGGAUUCAAGUUUGCUACAUUUUUUAGCCUGACAAUACUGGUAAGUGUUGUCUUAGUGGGAGUCCUGGAAACUUCUGGAAUCUGUAGAUGAAGCGACAGAUGCUUCUCGAGUAACUAGCAGUGACAGCUGUCUGUCACUCCCUCAUUUGCACUUUGUCUGAGUACUUUUCACCCUGUUUUAAGUGUGAGUAAGCCUCUUUAUGUUCUGGCGAAUGGCAUACAGAAGCAGCUUGUUGUAGCAGUUCACUUUACACGGUGGCUCUGUCCCUGGCUCCAGGCUCCAGUCCAUCCUUCUACAUCUGCAGAGUGCUUUCUGUACUGUGUGAUGCAGUAUGACUUUAUGAAAGGAACAGAGCUUUCUUCCUUGGAAAUACCUGUUGGGAUAGCAUUUGCCUCACAGAGCAGUGUUCCCCCCCCCCCCACCUAUGCCAGAUAAAGGAUACUUUUGCAAGCGUGAGGCAUCUCUUCAGAGCUCUCUUCCAGUGUUGGACAGGUGUUCUGGGGGCUUGCUCCAAUCGCUUUAAAUAUCCUCCCAGUUGCCACUUAGUGUGACAUGGCAGGGAUGCCCAUUUCUUCCCUGGUGUCUCCCAGUACUGUCUGAUUUAGAAUGCUCUGUGUGGCAUCCUCUCUUGACAGGCUGUGAUUUCACCCCGUAGGUACCACAAAGAAAGCCUUUCAAGUGUUCUCCUGACUCCGUAGGCCAUUUCCGUAUCCUCAAUAUGGUCAAAUUUUCCCACUUCCCAGUGAUUGGGUGGCCUGGUUGGCUCUCAUGGAACUACACAUGUCCUUGUGCUAUAGGCAAUAACUGUGUAAUCAUGUGUGAGUCUGUCUUCCUUAAUCAUUUUCAGGGCAAAUGGCUUUAAAAAAAUAUUUAAGGGACACAUAAAGAUUAGAGCAAUUAUGAGGGGUUUGUUGGAGCAGGAGACUAAUUUGUAAAACUCAUCGCCUUGAGUCAGCAGAGAGGGAGGAGGUGAAGUCACUGCUCCCAUCUGCCAAUGACUGUCAUGUUUGAGCUUUUGUUUUGUGUUUUCUAUGUUAGCCUUACUCUGAAUACCUACCUAUCAUUUAAAUAUUUAAAUGUAUUUUCUCUCCCUUCUUCUUUUUGUAAAUAAGGGAACAAAGCAAUCAAACACCUUCUGGGGGAUCCUAGCUUGAGGAUUUUAUCAACCAUUUCAAAUGUAAAUGUGAAAAUCAGUCCCUGUAGGAAACUCGCAUCCGAAUUUCUGUUUGUUGCAGUUGAAAAUGUAAAUAAGAUGCUGUAAGACCCUCCUUAAGGUCUAAUGCUAACUGGGCAGUAGCAGGUUGGUUGCCCUAUUUUUAUUAGGUUUUGAAGGUUUUCAUUUUCUUUCUUUCCUAAAUGUACAGUAGAAUGGUGUCCGUGUGUAAGUGUCGACUGUAGUGGGGUUUGUCCAGCAAGCCUGAACUUUAUACUUUGAAAUAAAUGACUGAGUUUUUAACAUUCUGAGU
rnacentral:lncRNA from 1 species